rnacentral:rRNA from 1 species
GUACACUCCUGCGGGAGGCAGCAGUGGGGAAUAUUGCACAAUGGGCGCAAGCCUGAUGCAGCGACGCCGCGUGGGGGAUGAAGGCCUUCGGGUUGUAAACUCCUUUCGCUAGGGACGAAGCUUUUUUGUGACGGUACCUAGAUAAGAAGCACCGGCUAACUACGUGCCAGCAGCCGCGGUAAUACGUAGGGUGCGAGCGUUGUCCGGAAUUACUGGGCGUAAAGGGCUCGUAGGUGGUUUGUCGCGUCGUCUGUGAAAUUCUGGGGCUUAACUCCGGGCGUGCAGGCGAUACGGGCAUAACUUGAGUGCUGUAGGGGUAACUGGAAUUCCUGGUGUAGCGGUGAAAUGCGCAGAUAUCAGGAGGAACACCGAUGGCGAAGGCAGGUUACUGGGCAGUUACUGACGCUGAGGAGCGAAAGCAUGGGUAGCGAACAGGAUUAGAUACCCCGGUAGUCCCAUGA